ACUCAGAUUCUGAAAGGCCUGGAGGAGUUCCCACUGCCUCAAACUCCCCAGUACACCGACACCUUCAAUGACACAUCUGUCCACUGGUUCCCUCUUCUGAAGCUGGAAGGCUUAUCUGAGGACCUGUGGGCAUCCCGGGAAGAGCCUGACUACCAGAACUGUGAGGACCUGGAGAUCAUCAGGAAACCCACAGCCACUCAGCUGGAGUAGCAGGACACCAUUCUCUCCACCUGGGCCAGGGGCCACAGUGCACACCACACCAGCUCUUUGCUAGGCCGGGACUACAGCCCGACUGGGGACACUGAGUCACAUCCUGCCCUGGUGCCAUGGUCUCCCAAAUAGAGACGUUAUUUACC
rnacentral:lncRNA from 1 species